rfam:Verticillium dahliae VdLs.17 supercont1.7 genomic scaffold, whole genome shotgun sequence.
AGCCACGUAGCUCAGUGGUAGAGCGCCCAGGUUUCUUCCUCCUAGAACCCUUUCCGCUCUCAUAGACCUAAAGGCCAUACAUGGUCAUCUUCUCCCCUGGGAGGUCGGUGGUUCGAAUCCACCCGUGGCUG